CUGUAAUCAUGCAAUGACAUUUCCAACUGUAUGUGUGAUAGAAUUCAAAAUGCUAUUGGGAUUAUGGUUCUUAAGCAUUGGGAGGUAAUGUGAACUGUUGGCAGAAAUGACUUAUUUCAUUAUACUUUCCCAAAUAUACAAAAUACUUCAGCGAGAGGCCCGCUUCUUCCCUAUCCCUGCCCAAUUUGAACUGUUUUCCCCAGUUGUUGAAGGAUAGGCCUGCAAUUUUGCAAAGUGACUAUUAUUUGCCUUUCUCAAGGAAUCAACAACUUGAAAGUACAGUGCAAUGAAUUGUUGGGGUUCUGCAGCUGCAUUUACAAUAUGUUUCUUCUGUGAAACAUCUCACAGAAUUUAGAGAAUAAAGCUUUUAUUUAAUUUCCUCUUGGAUAUGAACUGCAAUCCUCUUCAUAAGUGAAAAGCACUUACCAUCCUGCUUAAUAUUUUGUUUACAGCAGGGUGGUGUUUUUCUCUUAAACCAUUAUGACAUUUGAAACAACACAAAAAAGUGUCCUGUGUUUCUACAUUCCUGACACAUUCUUGCCCUUGAUCAACUGCAGAAGGCAGACAAUAGCGCAGAUCAUUUUCCCCAGGCAGGGAAACGCAGCAUGGAUCAACUCAAUAACCUGAUAUUCCCUCUCUACUGAGUGUGGCCAAUUUAGCAGAAGGUCAGCGCCUUUUUUUUUUAUUCCAGAGACAAUUUGGUGACCUCCCUCUGGAGCCCCAGCAGGACCAGCGGAGACAAACAGAAUUGUCGAGCUAGAAAGUGCUUGUGUUGACAUUGCGUUUCGGUGUGGACUUCUCAAGGUGAACAGAUACCUGGUCAAAUGUAACAACGGCUUCAACUUCCUCGGACAAGAGUCGAGGAAAAAAACGCCAAGUGUGUGUGCUUAGUAUUUUCUUUUGGUGACAAGAGCUGGCCUUCAGUGUUAUUCAGCCCAUUGAAAACGAUUUCAGAUAUGAAAGGAGACGCUUUGUAUCUGAAAAUGUACAUUAAAUGGUGUCAACAACAUCCCAGAGGUCAGAGUAGAGUCCCCAUGGAGACUGAAUCUGGCUGCUGCGCUCGAAGCCUCGACACCCCCCUGAGUGGCGGCUCUGUGAUGGCUCUCAGUUUCUCUCGUCAUGUCCCUGGCAGCUUUGACACAGGUAAUAUGCAUGCAGGCUGACAGUGCCUGGGAUGUGCGGCAGAGACAAUGAUGUACGUAUCAUUUUCCUCCCUGACUGAUUGAAGACUGUAAUCUGUGCUGGACUUUCUCUCUGAUUACACACGUCUCAGGGAGCAAAACAAGGACUCUGAGCUGCCACUGGGCACUGGACUCAUCCAGAGCUUUCAGCCUUCAAGAGGACUGAAGUUCGCCUUUAAGGCUUGCAGCUGCUGAUGAGAUGUGUCUCUGUGCAGACAGAUGAUAGGGUGCCAGACAGAGACCGCACGGCAACCAGCAGCCCUCCCUGCUCUUGUCUUUGUGACACCUUUGGGCUGCUACUGUAGGGUCUAUUGUGUGCAGGUAGAAGCAUGCCACUGCAAUGGAGAGACUCGCCCCUCUGUCCAUCACCCUGACAGCUGUGGAAAUACAUUCGCCAUGCUGCAUUAAGGAGCGUCCACAGUGUUUAACACCACACUUAAACACAAAAGGAAUCUGGGGCACCUUCUCCAUGCCCAUUGUUCACAUCCUUGCACCAUAUUCCCAGCUAUUAAAGAAAAUAUGUCUUCAUGUCGGUGUAUUAUUUCCUCACAGGAUUUGUUUUAGCAACUUCAACUGCAGUGAAGAGAUGUGAUGUAGAUGUAAAACUUGUGGAGCAAAAUGAUGCAACGUCUGUCUUGGCGAGAACAACACAAUAAAGGCCAAUUAGAACUGAGUGCAGAGCCGUUGUGACAAGCAAAGGUCCCGGUAUCAGGGGGGACACGCGUGGGCGGGGUGGACCUGUCAGCGCUACAUUGAGGGAGAUAACAAUAAAUAGCUAAUAAUGACACUUAAUGAGCUUGAUGAAGUUGAUGUGUUAUGGAAAAAGUGCAAAUGGUGGAUGUAGGUGAUGUGAUGAGAGAUUGAUUUUAAUAGAUAGGAAACUCUGUUGGGGCUUUGCUGCACAAUGGGGCUGCAGAGGGGGAAAAAAGGUACAAAGGGAUGCUGAAUGGAUUCUCACGAGAUAUAUCUGAGAUAAUUAGAUACAUUUCACACUAACAUACAUAAUUCACUCAAGGACAUUAUGAACAUUUCUCAGCAUACAGAGGAUUUCAUAUAUUUUCAAGAAAUGGCUGGUCUGAUUAUUUUCAACUUACAUGUUUCCAGCAAGCGCAAUAUGUUCAUACAGUAUAUGAAUGUCGUUAAAUGCUAUUAUGGGAGCAGUAAUGACUGCCAGAUAAUUAUCCCUCCCACUUAGACUUGACGGCUGCUGAAUUUCUCUCAUUUCACCACAUAAUUGUCUAUGAUUGAAUUGGAGAUUUUAUAUACUUCUCUGUUCUUUCAGGCUGAGUUGACUUUCCACAGUGACGGUGGAGGUUAUCACAGGCCCUACAAGUCCCCCGAAUUGCCCUGUAAACAACAUGCAAUAGUGAACAAAGUUUCCCUGGCUUUCAAUAUGCCUCUCCCAAUUUUACCUCGAAAGCGACAGAAAGUCAGAUGAAGGGAAGUUUAAUUAAGUAAGAACCUGUUGAGGAAGAUUUCCAAUCAUGGUCUUCAGAAUGAGUGCAUUCAGCGUAUUCAUCUCCAGGCGAUAUGCUCUCUCUUUAUCCAAGUGUGCGCUGGAGUUCUCUAGAGGGACCCCAGUUAAUUGAAUACAUUAAAGUAGAGCGCCGGAGGCUUUAUUUAUUUUUCUACUCUAGUCAGACUUGUUUAAAGGAGACCAACUGCUGAUGUUUGGCCCCUUCUAGAGUUUAAAUGGUCUCCACACUGGGAGUGGUGUGCAGGAGUAGUGGUUUGAGAAGAGAUUUGAUGUAAUCCACAGCUUAUUUAUUCACCAUGAACCCCUGAGUGAGCCUAGUUUAUGUAUUUGGCAGUCAUUCAAAUGUGCAUCUUGGCCCUCAGG